UCCCUGGUGGCUCAGAUGGUAAAGCGUCUGCCUGCAAUGCGGGAGAUCCGGGUUUGAUUCCUGGGUUGGGAA
rnacentral:tRNA from 1 species